ACCCGGUGAUCUAGCCAUGGGCAGGUUGAAGGUUGGGUAACACUAACUGGAGGACCGAACCGACUAAUGUUGAAAAAUUAGCGGAUGACUUGUGGCUGGGGGUGAAAGGCCAAUCAAACCGGGAGAUAGCUGGUUCUCCCCGAAAGCUAUUUAGGUAGCGCCUCGUGAAUUCAUCUUCGGGGGUAGAGCACUGUUUCGGCUAGGGGGUCAUCCCGACUUACCAACCCGAUGCAAACUACGAAUACCGAAGAAUGUUAUCACGGGAGACACACGGCGGGUGCUAACGUCCGUCGUGAAGAGGGAAACAACCCAGACCGCCAGCUAAGGUCCCAAAGUCAUGGUUAAGUGGGAAACGAUGUGGGAAGGCACAGACAGCCAGGAUGUUGGCUUAGAAGCAGCCAUCAUUUAAAGAAAGCGUAAUAGCUCACUGGUCGAGUCGGCCUGCGCGGAAGAUGUAACGGGGCUAAACCAUGCACCGAAGCUGCGGCAGCGACACUAUGUGUUGUUGGGUAGGGGAGCGUUCUGUAAGCCUGCGAAGGUGACCUGUGAGGGUUGCUGGAGGUAUCAGAAGUGCGAAUGCUGACAUAAGUAACGAUAAAGCGGGUGAAAAGCCCGCUCGCCGGAAGACCA
rnacentral:rRNA from 1 species